GACGAACGCUGGCGGCGUGCUUAACACAUGCAAGUCGAGCGGUAAGGCCCUUUCGGGGGUACACGAGCGGCGAACGGGUGAGUAACACGUGGGUGACCUGCCCUCAGUUCUGGGACUAAGCCUGGGAAACCGGGUCUAAUACUGGAUAUGACCUCAUGACGCAUGUUGUGGGGUGGAAAGCCUUGUGCGACUGAGGAUGGGCCCGCGGCCUAUCAGCUUGUUGGUGGGGUGAUGGCCUACCAAGGCGACGACGGGUAGCCGGCCUGAGAGGGCGACCGGCCACACUGGGACUGAGACACGGCCCAGACUCCUACGGGAGGCAGCAGUGGGGAAUCUUGCGCAACGGGCGAAAGCCUGACGCAGCGACGCCGCGUGAGGGAUGACGGCCUGGU
rnacentral:rRNA from 1 species